GGAGAGAUGGCUCAGCAGUUAAGAGCACUGAAUGCUCUUUCAGAGGUCCUGAGUUCAAUUCCCAGCAACCCCA
rnacentral:tRNA from 1 species